rnacentral:misc_RNA from 1 species
AUAUUCGCAAGUUUCUGUUCUUCAUCGUCUCCAUUUCCUUUCCGAAAAUUGUUCUGAAAUUCAAAACACUUUCUUUGUUGGAUGUGACUUGCGAGUACCAGUUCCGCCGCUCAGUAGCUGAAGUGGAGCAAUGGCAUCCGAUCAUCAGCAGCCAGUUCUAUCUUCUCUCGGAAAGGUAGGACACUCAUCUGGUGAGAUUGACGAUGUUGAGGAACCGUUAGUUUCUGUUGAAUUUAAAAACUCAGAGAAUUUUUCUGCCAGAGCUGCAAU